rnacentral:misc_RNA from 1 species
GAUCAUUACUGAUUUGCUUAAUUGCACCACAUGUGUUUUUCUUUGAAACAAACUUGCUUUGGCGGUGGGCCCAGCCUGCCGCCAGAGGUCUAAACUUACAACCAAUUUUUUAUCAACUUGUCACACCAGAUUAUUACUAAUAGUCAAAACUUUCAACAACGGAUCUCUUGGUUCUCGCAUCGAUGAAGAACGCAGCGAAAUGCGAUACGUAAUAUGAAUUGCAGAUAUUCGUGAAUCAUCGAAUCUUUGAACGCACAUUGCGCCCUCUGGUAUUCCGGAGGGCAUGCCUGUUUGAGCGUCGUUUCUCCCUCAAACCGCUGGGUUUGGUGUUGAGCAAUACGACUUGGGUUUGCUUGAAAGACGGUAGUGGUAAGGCGGGAUCGCUUUGACAAUGGCUUAGGUCUAACCAAAAACAUUGCUUGCGGCGGCAACGUCUACCACGUAUAUCUUCAAACUUUGACCUCAAAUCAGGUA